UGCAAGUCGAGCGGACCGACGGGAGCUUGCUCCCUUAGGUCAGCGGCGGACGGGUGAGUAACACGUGGGUAACCUGCCUGUAAGACUGGGAUAACUCCGGGAAACCGGGGCUAAUACCGGAUGCUUGAUUGAACCGCAUGGUUCAAUUAUAAAAGGUGGCUUUUAGCUACCACUUACAGAUGGACCCGCGGCGCAUUAGCUAGUUGGUGAGGUAACGGCUCACCAAGGCAACGAUGCGUAGCCGACCUGAGAGGGUGAUCGGCCACACUGGGACUGAGACACGGCCCAGACUCCUACGGGAGGCAGCAGUAGGGAAUCUUCCGCAAUGGACGAAAGUCUGACGGAGCAACGCCGCGUGAGUGAUGAAGGUUUUCGGAUCGUAAAACUCUGUUGUUAGGGAAGAACAAGUACCGUUCGAAUAGGGCGGUACCUUGACGGUACCUAACCAGAAAGCCACGGCUAACUACGUGCCAGCAGCCGCGGUAAUACGUAGGUGGCAAGCGUUGUCCGGAAUUAUUGGGCGUAAAGCGCGCGCAGGCGGUUUCUUAAGUCUGAUGUGAAAGCCCCCGGCUCAACCGGGGAGGGUCAUUGGAAACUGGGGAACUUGAGUGCAGAAGAGGAGAGUGGAAUUCCACGUGUAGCGGUGAAAUGCGUAGAGAUGUGGAGGAACACCAGUGGCGAAGGCGACUCUCUGGUCUGUAACUGACGCUGAGGCGCGAAAGCGUGGGGAGCGAACAGGAUUAGAUACCCUGGUAGUCCACGCCGUAAACGAUGAGUGCUAAGUGUUAGAGGGUUUCCGCCCUUUAGUGCUGCAGCAAACGCAUUAAGCACUCCGCCUGGGGAGUACGGUCGCAAGACUGAAACUCAAAGGAAUUGACGGGGGCCCGCACAAGCGGUGGAGCAUGUGGUUUAAUUCGAAGCAACGCGAAGAACCUUACCAGGUCUUGACAUCCUCUGACAACCCUAGAGAUAGGGCUUCCCCUUCGGGGGCAGAGUGACAGGUGGUGCAUGGUUGUCGUCAGCUCGUGUCGUGAGAUGUUGGGUUAAGUCCCGCAACGAGCGCAACCCUUGAUCUUAGUUGCCAGCAUUCAGUUGGGCACUCUAAGGUGACUGCCGGUGACAAACCGGAGGAAGGUGGGGAUGACGUCAAAUCAUCAUGCCCCUUAUGACCUGGGCUACACACGUGCUACAAUGGGCAGAACAAAGGGCAGCGAAGCCGCGAGGCUAAGCCAAUCCCACAAAUCUGUUCUCAGUUCGGAUCGCAGUCUGCAACUCGACUGCGUGA
rnacentral:rRNA from 1 species